rfam:Oryza sativa Japonica Group DNA, chromosome 1, cultivar: Nipponbare, complete sequence.
GCCCUUUUAACUCAGUGGUGGAGUAAUGCCAUGGUAAGGCAUAAGUCAUCGGUUCAAAUCCGAUAAAGGGCU